rnacentral:rRNA from 1 species
CCCUUAGAUGUUCUGGGCGGCCCGCGCACUACAUUGGCACUAGCAAAGAGAUCCUAGAUUGAAUUCUUUGGGGUAUUCUUCUAAAUGGUGUCGUGACUGGGAUAAAUCCUUGUAAUUACUGGUUUUGAACGAGGAAUUCCUUGUAAUCGCGGUUUAUCAGCUCGCGUUGAAUGCGUCCCUGCCCUUUGUACACACCGCCCGUCGCUCCUACCGAUGGAUCGUCCGGUGAAGCUCACGGAGUGACUGUUCACGCAACGGUUUACGAAGUGAAAUGGACCUCACGAUUUAGAGGAAGGAGAAGUCGUAACA